rnacentral:lncRNA from 1 species
GAUCACAGUAACAAUAAAAAUAGAAAACUGUGUGUGAAGCUGGAAGAUGCAGAACACGAAAGAUCAAAUUACCAAUUUUUUUUUCUAUUUUCUUUAGUUAGCUGCUGCUGAAAUCAGAAAAGUAAUGGACAUAAAAAUGAAAGUAUGCAAUGUGUGUGUGUGUGUAUGUAUAUCACAUGCACUCGUUUUCAUGAUGUACAUAUGGAAUUUCAUAACCAGCCAAACUAAGCUUCAUAAAUGAAUGAGAAAUAAAAUCCUUUACAGACAAGCAGACGCUGAGAGAUUUAGUCACCAUCAGGCCUGCCUUACAAGAGCUCCUAAAGGAAGCACUAAAUAUGGAAAGGAAAAACCAGUACCAGCCACUGCAAAAACACACCAAAAUAUAAAAACCAAUGAAACUAGGAAGAAACUGCUUGCUAACUAUCCUAAAUAUAUAUGAACCAAAUACAGGAGCACCAGGAUUCAUAAAACAAGUUCUUAGAGACCUACAAGGAGACUUAGACUCCCACAAAAUAAUAGUGGGAAACUUUAACAACCCACUAUCAAUAUUAGACAGAUCAACAGGACAGGAAAUUAACAAGGAUAUUCAGACUUGAACUCAGAUCUGGUCCAAGCGGACCUAAUAGAUAUCUACAGAACUCUCCACCCCAAAUCAACAGAAGAUACAUUCUUCUCAGCACCACAUAGCACUUAUUCUAAAAUCAACCACAUAAUUGGAAGUAAAACACUCCUCAGCAAAUGCAAAAGAAUGAAAAUCAUAACAAACAAUCUCUCAAACCAAAGCAUAAUCAAAUUAGAACUCAGAAUUAAGAAACUCACUCAAAACUGCACAACUACAUGGAAACUGAACAACCUGCUUCUGACUGACUACUGGGUAAAUAGCAAAAUUAAGGCAGAAAUAAAUAAGUUCUUUGAAACCAAUGAGAACAAAGACACAACAUACCAGAAUAUCUAGGACACAGGUAAAACAGUGUUUAGAGGGAAAUUUAUAGCAUUAAAUGCCCACAUCAGAAAGUGGGAAAGAUCUAAAACAGACACCCUAACAUCACAAUCAAAAGAAGCAAUGGCAAACACAUUCAAAACCUAGCAUAAGACAAGAAAUAACUAAGAUCACAGCAGAACUGAAUGGGAGAGAAACACGAAAAAACCUUCAAAAAAAUCAAUGAAUCUAGGAGCGGGUUUUUUGAAAAGAUUAACAAAAUAGACCGGUAGCCAGACUAAUAUGGAAGAAAAGAGAGAAAAAUCAAACAGACACAUUAAAAAAUGAUAAAGGGGAUAUCACCACUGAUGCCACAGAAAUACAAACUAUUAUCAG